AGGGAAUCUGGAAGGCAGAAGGGGAUUGCUGUAUCUUUUGGGGCAAUUGAUCCUGACUACCAAAGGGAGAUUGGGUUGCUGCUACACAGUGAGGACAGCAGAAAUUUAUUUAUCAUGAUUUUGGAGGCCAGAAGCCCAACAUCAGGAUGCCAUAUGGUCAGGUCUUCAUGAGGACUUUCUUCCUGGCUUGCAGGUGACACCUUCAUCCUGUAUCCUCACAUGGCAGAGAAGGUAAGGUCUUCAGUAUCUCUAAUUAUGAGAACACUAAGGUCAUCAUGAGAGCCACGC
rnacentral:lncRNA from 1 species